AUCUAUUUCAGCCUCUGCCUUCACAGCCUCUGUUAGGUCAGUCACGAGCUAUUCCACCACGAAACUUCCAGAGUAGAGCGAAUGGUCGGAGCCGAAAUGGCACAAAUUCUUGACUAAUGUGGGAUCAAUUCAUUUUAAAACGGUGUAUCGGGUCGGACAAUAAUCAAGCAAAGCUGUCACAUGCUUUUGUUUCUGUAAAGGGGAAGCAGAAACACAAUAUUAAACCUAAAUCCAAAAAUAUCAUUCAAUUUAAAGGAUUGUUGGGACCAAAAUGGGCCAAGGACACAGAUCCCAGCCUGAAAUGCAUAAUAAACGGGCGUUUAAGCUACUUAACGAUUGACACCGGAGCUAAAGUUACUUUAUUGUCGAAAACG
rnacentral:lncRNA from 1 species